AGUUGUAUCCUGGCUCAGGACGAACGCUGGCGGCGUGCCUAAUACAUGCAAGUCGAGCGGAGAAAUGGGAGCUUGCUCCCAUUUCUCAGCGGCGGACGGGUGAGUAACACGUGGGCAACCUGCCCUGCAGACUGGGAUAACUCCGGGAAACCGGAGCUAAUACCGGGUAAUACAUAGCAUCGCAUGAUGCAACGUUGAAAGUUGGCCUUUGGCUAACACUGUAGGAUGGGCCCGCGGCGCAUUAGCUAGUUGGUAAGGUAACGGCUUACCAAGGCCACGAUGCGUAGCCGACCUGAGAGGGUGAUCGGCCACACUGGGACUGAGACACGGCCCAGACUCCUACGGGAGGCAGCAGUAGGGAAUCUUCCGCAAUGGACGAAAGUCUGACGGAGCAACGCCGCGUGAGUGACGAAGGCCUUCGGGUCGUAAAGCUCUGUUGUUAGGGAAGAACAAGUACCGUUCGAAUAGGGCGGUACCUUGACGGUACCUAACCAGAAAGCCACGGCUAACUACGUGCCAGCAGCCGCGGUAAUACGUAGGUGGCAAGCGUUGUCCGGAAUUAUUGGGCGUAAAGCGCGCGCAGGCGGUCUCUUAAGUCUGAUGUGAAAGCCCACGGCUCAACCGUGGAGGGCCAUUGGAAACUGGGGGACUUGAGUGCAGAAGAGGAGAGUGGAAUUCCACGUGUAGCGGUGAAAUGCGUAGAUAUGUGGAGGAACACCAGUGGCGAAGGCGGCUCUCUGGUCUGUAACUGACGCUGAGGCGCGAAAGCGUGGGGAGCGAACAGGAUUAGAUACCCUGGUAGUCCACGCCGUAAACGAUGAGUGCUAGUGUUGGGGGGCUUCCACCCUCAG
rnacentral:rRNA from 1 species